GGAGAGGUGGCUGAGCGGUCGAAAGCGGCAGAUUGCUAAUCUGUUGUACGGCUUAACGCCGUACCGAGGGUUCGAAUCCCUCCCUCUCCG
rnacentral:tRNA from 1 species